AGUCGGCCAAACUAUGGCAGCCACAGUUGGGCCGACUAGGGGGAGAAUGGUCGGCAUGACUUUGAAAACCGCAGUUGGGCCGACUACGGGGAAUGUAGUCAGCAUGACUGGCAGCCGAGUAUAUCGAUGGUCGGUAUAUCAAGGAUUACAGAAUUAUUUUUCUCAAAAGAAACACGAUCCCAGAGUUGGGCCGACCAUGGUAAAUAUUUGCACCCAAAGUUGGGCCGACUAUGGCUGCCGACGUCGGCAGUCACAGUUGGGCCGACCAUUGCAGCCAUAGUUGGGCCGACUAUGGGGGAUUAUGGUCGGCACAACCUUGGCAGCCAUAGUUGGGCCAACCUUGGCUGCCAUAGUUGGGCCGACCAGGGGGGGUAAUGGUCGGCACAACCUUGGCAGCCAUGGUUGGCCCAACUGUGGCUGCCAUAGUUGGGCCGACCAUUCUUCCCCAUAGUCGGUCCAACUAUGGCAGCCACAGUUGGGCCGACUAAGGGGAAAAUGGUUGGCACAACCUUGGCAGCCAUAGUUGGGCCAACCUUGGCUGCCAUAGUUGGGCCGACCAUGGGGGACAAUGGUCGGUACGACCUUGGCAGCCAAGGUCGGUCCAACCUUGGCUGCCAUAGUUGGGCCGACCAUCAUAAAGUAAAUUUCUCUCCUACCAUUGACAAAUGUAAAAUGUUUUUGUUAAUUUACUUGUAAUUGAUUAAUUUAAAAAGAAAAAAGGUUAUAUGUGAUUAAUUUAUUAUUUUGAAUUACUAAUUUUAAUUUUUUUCAAGCUGUAGCUUAUAACAUUUAUUUUUCUCCGUGACUCAUAUGUCAUUGCGUAGUGUAGUGGUUAGCGUAUUAGACUGCGGUGCGUUAGGUUGCGAGUUCGAUCCCUGCGAGCGUUAAAAAUUUUAAUUUGUAUAUAUGUAUGUUUACGAUUGCGUUUAGUGUUUAAGUAUAUAAAAUAAAUGUAUAAUGAAUUUAAAAUGAUUACUAAUAUAUGUUAUUUGUAUAACAAAUUUUUA